UCCAUGGUGGUCUAGUGGUUAGGAAUUGGUACUUUCAUUGCUGUGGUCCAGGUUCAAUCCCUGGUCUGGGAA
rnacentral:tRNA from 1 species